rnacentral:rRNA from 1 species
GGGUUGUGAGGUUAAGCGACUAAGCGUACACGGUGGAUGCCCUGGCAGUCAGAGGCGAUGAAGGGCGUGCUAAUCUGCGAUAAGCGCCGGUAAGGUGAUAUGAACCGUUAUAACCGGCGAUACCCGAAUGGGGAAACCCAGUGUGACUCGUCACACUAUCAUUAACUGAAUCCAUAGGUUAAUGAGGCGAACCGGGGGAACUGAAACAUCUAAGUACCCCGAGGAAAAGAAAUCAACCGAGAUUCCCCCAGUAGCGGCGAGCGAACGGGGAGGAGCCCAGAGCCUGAAUCAGCAUGUGUGUUAGUGGAAGCGUCUGGAAAGGCGCGCGAUACAGGGUGACAGCCCCGUACACAAAAGCGCAUGUGCUGUGAGCUCGAUGAGUAGGGCGGGACACGUGGUAUCCUGUCUGAAUAUGGGGGGACCAUCCUCCAAGGCUAAAUACUCCUGACUGACCGAUAGUGAACCAGUACCGUGAGGGAAAGGCGAAAAGAACCCCGGCGAGGGGAGUGAAAAAGAACCUGAAACCGUGUACGUACAAGCAGUGGGAGCCCCACCACUAAGCCAGUGGUGAACUCCACAUACGCAUCCUUUGCUGAGGAUACGGUUAACGGAGCGAAAGCGACGUUCAACCGCAAAAGAAGCAGAGGGGGCUUAGUGGUGGGGUGACUGCGUACCUUUUGUAUAAUGGGUCAGCGACUUAUAUUCUGUAGCAAGGUUAACCGUAUAGGGGAGCCGGAGGGAAACCGAGUCUUAACCGGGCGUUAAGUUGCAGGGUAUAGACCCGAAACCCGGUGAUCUAGCCAUGGGCAGGUUGAAGGUUGGGUAACACUAACUGGAGGACCGAACCGACUAAUGUUGAAAAAUUAGCGGAUGACCUGUGGCUGGGGGUGAAAGGCCAAUCAAACCGGGAGAUAGCUGGUUCUCCCCGAAAGCUAUUUAGGUAGCGCCUCGUGAAUUCAUCUCCGGGGGUAGAGCACUGUUUCGGCUAGGGGGCCAUCCCGGCUUACCAACCCGAUGCAAACUGCGAAUACCGGAGAAUGUUAUCACGGGAGACACACGGCGGGUGCUAACGUCCGUCGUGAAGAGGGAAACAACCCAGACCGCCAGCUAAGGUCCCAAAGUCAUGGUUAAGUGGGAAACGAUGUGGGAAGGCCCAGACAGCCAGGAUGUUGGCUUAGAAGCAGCCAUCAUUUAAAGAAAGCGUAAUAGCUCACUGGUCGAGUCGGCCUGCGCGGAAGAUGUAACGGGGCUAAACCAUGCACCGAAGCUGCGGCAGCGACACUAUGUGUUGUUGGGUAGGGGAGCGUUCUGUAAGCCUGUGAAGGUGGCCUGUGAGGGUUGCUGGAGGUAUCAGAAGUGCGAAUGCUGACAUAAGUAACGAUAAAGCGGGUGAAAAGCCCGCUCGCCGGAAGACCAAGGGUUCCUGUCCAACGUUAAUCGGGGCAGGGUGAGUCGACCCCUAAGGCGAGGCCGAAAGGCGUAGUCGAUGGGAAACGGGUUAAUAUUCCCGUACUUGGUGUUACUGCGAAGGGGGGACGGAGAAGGCUAUGUUGGCCGGGCGACGGUUGUCCCGGUUUAAGCGUGUAGGUGUGUGUUCCAGGUAAAUCCGGUUCACUUUAACACUGAGGCGUGACGACGAGGCACUACGGUGCUGAAGCAACAAAUGCCCUGCUUCCAGGAAAAGCCUCUAAGCAUCAGGUAACAUCAAAUCGUACCCCAAACCGACACAGGUGGUCAGGUAGAGAAUACCAAGGCGCUUGAGAGAACUCGGGUGAAGGAACUAGGCAAAAUGGUGCCGUAACUUCGGGAGAAGGCACGCUGACACGUAGGUGAAGUGAUUUACUCAUGGAGCUGAAGUCAGUCGAAGAUACCAGCUGGCUGCAACUGUUUAUUAAAAACACAGCACUGUGCAAACACGAAAGUGGACGUAUACGGUGUGACGCCUGCCCGGUGCCGGAAGGUUAAUUGAUGGGGUCAGCGCAAGCGAAGCUCCUGAUCGAAGCCCCGGUAAACGGCGGCCGUAACUAUAACGGUCCUAAGGUAGCGAAAUUCCUUGUCGGGUAAGUUCCGACCUGCACGAAUGGCGUAAUGAUGGCCAGGCUGUCUCCACCCGAGACUCAGUGAAAUUGAACUCGCUGUGAAGAUGCAGUGUACCCGCGGCAAGACGGAAAGACCCCGUGAACCUUUACUAUAGCUUGACACUGAACAUUGAGCCUUGAUGUGUAGGAUAGGUGGGAGGCUUUGAAGUGUGGACGCCAGUCUGCAUGGAGCCGGCCUUGAAAUACCACCCUUUAAUGUUUGAUGUUCUAACGUGGACCCGUGAUCCGGGUUGCGGACAGUGUCUGGUGGGUAGUUUGACUGGGGCGGUCUCCUCCUAAAGAGUAACGGAGGAGCACGAAGGUUGGCUAAUCCUGGUCGGACAUCAGGAGGUUAGUGCAAUGGCAUAAGCCAGCUUGACUGCGAGCGUGACGGCGCGAGCAGGUGCGAAAGCAGGUCAUAGUGAUCCGGUGGUUCUGAAUGGAAGGGCCAUCGCUCAACGGAUAAAAGGUACUCCGGGGAUAACAGGCUGAUACCGCCCAAGAGUUCAUAUCGACGGCGGUGUUUGGCACCUCGAUGUCGGCUCAUCACAUCCUGGGGCUGAAGUAGGUCCCAAGGGUAUGGCUGUUCGCCAUUUAAAGUGGUACGCGAGCUGGGUUUAGAACGUCGUGAGACAGUUCGGUCCCUAUCUGCCGUGGGCGCUGGAGAACUGAGGGGGGCUGCUCCUAGUACGAGAGGACCGGAGUGGACGCAUCACUGGUGUUCGGGUUGUCAUGCCAAUGGCACUGCCCGGUAGCUAAAUGCGGAAGAGAUAAGUGCUGAAAGCAUCUAAGCACGAAACUUGCCCCGAGAUGAGUUCUCCCUGAGACUUAGAGUCUCCUGAAGGAACGUUGAAGACGACGACGUUGAUAGGCCGGGUGUGUAAGCGCAGCGAUGCGUUGAGCUAACCGGUACUAAUGAACCGUGAGGCUUAACCUUACAACGCCGAAG